GCUGCCCAUCUCCCUCCCUCCGCGCCGCACACUUGCACGCAUGCCCGCCUUCCUGGCGCCGCCCAUCUCCCUCCGCGCUGCGCGCUCGCAUGCGGCGUGCCGCCUCCGUCUACUCGGGCCUCUCUCUCCCGUCCUCCGCUCCUCUACCUCAGCUUCCGCUCCUACCCCAAGACAGUGCUCCCUCCUCUCGUUCAAGGCCGGCCAGUGCCUCAAUCCUGCCACUGUCCCCAAGAUCCAUCGUCGAAGAAGCCCGUGAACGUGGAUCUAUCCCCAAGUUCCGCGUCCAAAGGAGCCUGUGACAAGGAGGCCCAGCCGGAGAGCCGCGACGCUGAUCCAUGUCGGUGGAGAAUCUGCGGAGAGCCGGUGACAGAUCACAGGUUGUUCCUCCUGAUCUAGGUUUGGUUUAUGGGGGAAAUCGCCUGGAACCCUAGAGCUGCUUGAGGAAAGGAAGAUCACUAGAGACCGCACCACAUGGAAGAUCGAUGGGGCUGCAGAUGAGGAGGUGUUGCUACUGAAUUUAUCUGACCAUUUGUGAGUCUGUAAAUUUAUUUAAUAUAUACUGCUUUGUGUUUUGGUUCUGUACUGCAGAUUAUAACACUACUCAAUAACACUAUAUAGGUGAGCAGUUCUUCAUACAUUAAUUUCUGGAUGGAUUAUUCUCAGUUGAAUAUUUAUAAAUUAUUUUUCUAAUUAUAUUGUUGUUCAAUAUGUUGUGAGAAGGCUGAGAGUUCUUUUUGAGAUGUACAAAUAGAUACGUCAUACUCUUAAGGUUUUAAAUGUUUAGAAUGCACCUCUUAAGGUUUUAAAUGUUUAGAAUGCCAGAAAUUUUGCAAGACCAUUAUCAUGAGUUUCAGGAUGCAUCAUGAAUUUUUGUUGGUACAAUGUUUAAUGCAAGCUAAACAUGGGGUUGAAGAACCCUGCUGAUCCAUGUCUGCUAUUGCAAGUCUUCAAUUUUUGACGACGAAGGAUUUUGUGAUAAUGAGUGCUGGUCAUCUUUGUAUAAACUUAUUUUUACUCAAUCUAGUUUGGUGCAAGAUCUGUUGUAGGUCUAGUCAAAGUGUUAAACUAAAACUUCGUGCAGAUUUUUCCUAUCCUCAUUUACAAUAUAUCUAUUGUCUCUUGCAUGCAGUAUGACACUCAGCUUAAAAGGUAAGUGAGAAUGCUAUUCUCAAAAUGGAUUUUUAACCAAUGCGAUUCUCAUGCACUUAUAAUUACUUCCUGUUCUUGCAUAGCUACUGGACUGAAACUGAAUGUGUUUACCUAUAAUUACUGCAUGUUCUUGCAUAGCUACUGGACUAAAACUGAAUGUGUUUACCUAUUGGCUGCUGUUAGCAUCUGAAAAAUUACUACUACUACUACUACUACUACUACUACUACUACUACCCUCUACCAAUCUAACUAAUAUUUCUCCUCAUAUAUAGGGCACUGGUUCUUCUCAUGUUGGCUCAGAUUUUUCUUUCAGCUUGAAUAUUUUGAUGUCAAUGGUGUAAGUGUGUGCGUGUGGUAACCUGAGAGGCUAAUUUGGCUUAACCAUGUAAAGAAAAUUUCCAAGGAUUAAUACAUGAUCUGUGUAUUUUGAUGUCAAUGUGUAUCAAUUAUUUUGCUGAUGUAAUUAAGACUCACUUAUCCAAGGUUAUGACACUUCUUUGUAUUGUUCACUUAUACAGGUAGUGUAGCAAGUAGCGGCAUGUGCCUUUUCUCUUGAUUUGCCUUUUCUUUUACUGCCCAACAGUCAGGCAAGUUGCUAUUUAUUGUCAAUUUGAGGUAGACUACAAUUUUACAUAUAGUGCUGUGAAAGACUGGGCUGCUGGAAGAGAAGGAAAUGGUCCACUAGAUGAUGCUCUCCCAGAUCCAAAUUACUACGAGAUGUUGGGCUACUAGGACUCCGGCAAGGACGUUGGCACCUUCACAGCGGCAUGGCAGUAGUCUGCAAAACUCUAAAUCUAGAUUUCUCUACAGCCCUGGCACAGUGUAGUCUUUUUUCGCGACCCUAUUGUCCUAUUUGGAUGGAAUUGAGAUUGUGAAUCUUGUAUUAAAUGAGUGGAUCUUGUUUGAAAAAGUGUGGAUUUGUUUGCUAUUUUGCUGUAUAUAAAAUCAGUGAUCUAAAUUUUAUCUU